rnacentral:rRNA from 1 species
AAUCAACGCUGGCGGCGUGCCUAACACAUGCAAGUCGAACGCGAAAAGGGCUUCGGCUCUUAGUAGAGUGGCGAACGGGUGAGUAACACGUGGGUGACCUACCUUUGAAUGGGGGAUAACGUCCCGAAAGGGACGCUAAUACCGCAUAACAUCCUGCCUUUGAACAGGUGGAGAUCAAAGCCGGGGAUCGCAAGACCUGGCGUUUGGAGAGGGGCCCGCGUCUGAUUAGCUAGUUGGUGAGGAACGGCCCACCAAGGCGACGAUCGGUAGCCGGCCUAAGAGGGCGGACGGCCACACUGGGACUGAGACACGGCCCAGACUCCUACGGGAGGCAGCAGUGGGGAAUUGUUCGCAAUGGGCGCAAGCCUGACGACGCAACGCCGCGUGGAGGAUGAAGAUC